rnacentral:lncRNA from 1 species
ACACCAUUUUCAUUUUCUUUUUUUAAUUCACAUUUAAUUUCUGUUUUAUUUUUAAUUGAUAUAAAAUAUUUUAUUUAUUCAUAAAAAUAUCAAAAAAUAUUUUCCAUAUUUCUUAAUGUCUUAUUUAAUUUUUACUUUUGUAUUUAUUUAAUAUUAAUAUUUUAUUUUAAUUAUUUAUUCUAAGUGGUUCAUUUUAACACACAUAUUUUUC